GACGAACCGUGCGAACGUUGUUCGGAAUCACUGGGCUUAAAGGGCGCGUAGGCGGGCGAUCAAGUCAGAGGUGAAAUCCCACGGCUCAACCGUGGAAGUGCCCCUGAUACUGAUUGUCUCGAGGGAGGUAGGGGCGUGCGGAACUUCCGGUGGAGCGGUGAAAUGCGUAGAUAUCGGAAGGAACACCGAUGGCGAAGGCAGGUCUCUGGGCCGAUACUGACGCUGAGGAGCGAAAGCGUGGGGAGCGAACAGG
rnacentral:rRNA from 1 species